rnacentral:rRNA from 1 species
UGGUACAGAGGGCAGCCAAGUCGUGAGGCGGAGCUAAUCCCUUAAAGCCAUUCUCAGUUCGGAUUGUAGGCUGAAACUCGCCUACAUGAAGUCGGAAUCGCUAGUAAUCGCGGAUCAGCAUGCCGCGGUGAAUACGUUCCCGGGCCUUGUACACACCGCCCGUCACACCAUGGGAGUUUGUAACGCCCAAAGUCGGUGGCCUAACCUUUAUGGAGGGAGCCGCCUAAGGCGGGACAGAUGACUGGGGUGAAGUCGUAACAAGGUAAC